GACGAACGCUGGCGGCGUGCUUAACACAUGCAAGUCGAACGGUGAAAGCGGAGCUUGCUCCGCUGGAUCAGUGGCGAACGGGUGAGUAACACGUGGGCAACCUGCCCCUCGCUUCGGGAUAACUCCGGGAAACCGGGGCUAAUACCGGAUAUGACCUCCUUGGGCAUCCUUGGCGGUGGAAAGUUUUUCGGUGAGGGAUGGGCCCGCGGCCUAUCAGCUUGUUGGUGAGGUAGUGGCUCACCAAGGCGACGACGGGUAGCCGGCCUGAGAGGGCGACCGGCCACACUGGGACUGAGACACGGCCCAGACUCCUACGGGAGGCAGCAGUGGGGAAUAUUGCGCGAUGGGCGAAAGCCUGACGCAGCAACGCCGCGUGCGGGAUGACGGCCUUCGGGUUGUAAACCGCUUUCAGCAGGGAAGAAGCCGCAAGGUGACGGUACCUGCAGAAGACGCACCGGCUAACUACGUGCCAGCAGCCGCGGUAA
rnacentral:rRNA from 1 species